rnacentral:tRNA from 1 species
GCAAUGAUGGCCGAGUGGUUAAGACGUCUGACUAGAAAUCAGAUGGGAUCUUCCCGCGUAGGUUCGAAUCCUACUCACUGCG